UGUCAUGGCUUGGAAGACAGGCUUUAGUAUCAGAUUAACCUGGGGUUGAAUCCCAGCUCUGCUCCUUACUCGCCGGUGUGAUCUCAAGCAGACACCCACUUUCUGCUCCGCUCAGAAUCCUCAGUGACACCUCCUCUCACCCCUAUCCCCUCCGUCCAUCCACUCCUGGAGCACAGCCCCGCCAGACCCGGCCGGGCCCAGCCCCGCACCCAGGGCCUCCACCAGAACGCUAUUCCCACUGCGGCACCCCCUGGUAGCCAACGCCGCGACUCCUGCCUGACAUCAGGAAGUGGAAUCCCCACCUUCACCUGACACUAUGCAGCAACUAAGGCUCCAACGAUGCCCCAUCCUUGCUUGAAGUACACCUGGACAUAUCCUUCUAUUGGCUCCUCAUGUGCUAACGAAAGUCCUCCUGAUAACACAGCCACAAUGAGAAUACAAGAGAGUGUUCCAAAUUCCACAAUACCACUUGUGAUGCUUCUCACCCAAACAGAAAGCCAGAUACUUCCUUAAGCCAUCCUCAAUUUGAGCACAUCCUGCAAGCCCAAGUCUGGGAUAAGCAACGAUGGCUGUAAAUCUUCAAUAACUCAUAUCCUCCCUAACCCAUCAACAACUGAGACUCUCCAUGAAGCACACUACAGAAGAGCCUGCACUUUUUUAGCAAAGCCAGAACAAGAGGGAGAAAGAUCAAAGGCAGUGAAGAAAUGUGAUUAAACUUGCAUUUUAGAAAGAACACUGGCUAUGGUAUAAAGGAGGUCUGAGUCAGGGAAGCGCAUGGGAUGCUCUUGGUAUCACCAAAGUCACCACAGUCCAGCCACUGUUCUAGGUGCUGGGGAUUCAGCUGUGAAUAAAACAAAAAUUCCUAUCCUCCCAGAGCUUAUGUUCUGAUCAGAAGGAUAAAGACAACUCCAAGAAAAUUAACUAGCUCUAUGGUAAAUGAGCUGCCAAGCGGGAGAAGCAACUCCAGUGUCCAUGAUGGGUGAAUGGCUAAACAAAACAUGGUACAUGCGAACAACGGAAUGUUAUUCAGCCUGACAAAAGACGGGAAUUCUGACACAUACUACAGCAUGGAUGAACUGUGAGGACAUCAUGGAGGAGGAGGUCAAGGUGUUCAUUUAUCACCCGUGGACCCUGUCUUGCCAUCCCAAGGAGGAAGAGAGGACGAUCCCAAGUAGAACGGGCUGCUGGGCCACACUGCCCGGAUCCCCAUCUGCCUUUCUCCUGCCUCAUUUCCAAUUCCAGAAUUAUUCAUCAUCAAGAAGCUGCCGGAGAUGGAAUGUGAAUUAGGAGCUCAGCUUGAUUUUGUUUUAUCUUAUUUUCCCCCACGAGGCGCCGCCUGAGUGGGGCGGGGUGGGAGUGGGCCGAGCUUUGUUGUGACUUGUCGCCAAGCAAACGCGGUGUCAGCUUCCACGCAGGAGGCUGAGCAUGGAGCAUCCUGGGGCCUGUGCAGAGGAUGCUUAUUCUAGGAAAUAAUUACCCGCGUGUCCCUUCAAGUUGGCCCAAAAAAUAGAACACUCAGGAGUGAGUGCUGUUAUACCUUCUUAAUUAGUUUCCUCGUUUAACCCGGGUCAUUACUAGAAAGGCAUUCAGGCUCUGGAGACAGACCACGUUUUGAUCUUUUACUCCCGCUUACUCAUGGGCAACCUUAAUGAAAGUCACUCAGCCUCAGUCUUCUCAUCUGUAGAAUGAAAUGUAGAAUAAUGAAAGUACCUAUACUGUAGGGUUGUGGUGAGGAUUGAUAAAAUGUCAUGUGUGAAGGGCUUGGCACUGAUAUGCCAGUGUGUGGAAGCUGACUUUGUGUCACCCUGAUCAUCACCACCAUCACCAUCAUCAUCAUCACUAUCAUCAUUUCCAUCGGGUUGCUUUGUAUAUGCUGACACUAUUAGACAAAAUAAAGUG